CAGACACUGAAUGCUGCUUGUCAUCCACUUCUGGCUUUUCUACAAAAGCCGUAUUGGUAAACCGUCCCAAACAUCUCUGAUGCUCUGAGAGCAACAACACCCCUAGCUAUAAAUUUGGAGCGGACUCUUCGCAGCUGAUUAGAGAGCCAAAUAGCUGGACCCCAAGCAGCAGCCAGCGACAAGACGCCUGGACGGGUACAUAGCUGGCAGCUCUGCCCGGCCGUGGUGAGGAUCCAUCGAUGGCCAUCGGCUGUCGCAGCGAGUGAAGGCGCACAGUCCGGACGCAGAGGCGGUGGGAGCCCCGCACCUUCGCAGCCAGCUCGCGCGGGACUUGGCGCAGCGCCCCGGACUGCGAGUGCCCCUGACCUCCUGGCCUGCUUGGGGACUGCAGGGGCGGGAGUGAUUUAA
rnacentral:lncRNA from 1 species